UACGAAUCGUCCAAACGUUGUUCGGAUUUACUGGGUUUAAAGGGCGCGUAGGCGGUGCGUUAAGUCGGCGGUGAAAUACUUCGGCUCAACCGGAGAAUUGCCGCUGAAACUGGCGUGCUCGAGGGAGGUAGAGGUACGUGGAACUUCCGGUGGAGCGGUGAAAUGCGUUGAUAUCGGAAGGAACACCUGUGGCGAAAGCGAUGCACUGGACCUCUUCUGACGCUGAGUGCGCGAAGGCCAGGGGAGCAAACGGG
rnacentral:rRNA from 1 species